CCGCUGGUCCGGGGCACUCUGGCGAUAGCUUCGGCACUAUCGCGAUGUCGGACCGUUCUC
rfam:Rhizobium sp. CF080 ctg14, whole genome shotgun sequence.